AUAUGUGUGUAUCUGCAUGUAGGUGUAUAGUAAUUUUCGUUUUCUGUUUCUGUAAUUAUGCGUUAUACAUACAUGUUUUAACAUAUGAUGAGAAUUAAAUUUACCCCAUAUCUAUAGUCUAACAAAAAGUGUAAAAAAAAAAAAAUCCCUGCGUUUUUCCCAGACUUGAUGUUCAGAUAUUUAACCAUAUGAUUUAAUAAUUAGAAUUUGAACAUGAAUUAUUGACCAAAUUGGAAUUUAAAAAAAACAACAAAAAACAAAAUAAAAUAAAACGAAAUAUAAGCAAUUUUCUAUAAAAUAGAAUUAUUGCUCUUGUAAAAUAUACAUGGAAUAUUAAUGUAUCAUAAAACAAUAACUAGAUAAUAUUUAUUGGAAUUGAAAUAAAUUGCACAUGAAAAGGCACUCUACGUUCGUAUAUGUAAUGAUAAGGUAUGUGGUGAAUUAUAUGGUAUUUCCUUUUCUCUCAAGUGAUAUGUGCAUAUGUGUGUAUGUUCAUACCGUGUGUGCAUGCGUAUAAAUACACAGUCACAGAAGCACACACAACACACAAGCACACACACACACACACAGACACACACACACAAACACACACAAGCACACAGAUAUACAUAUAUGUUUGUAUAUAUGUGUGUGUUUAUUUUUAUAUAUGUAUUAGGACUUCUUUAACAAAGACAACCACAUGUUUCUUUUGUCCUGUACAUCAUUAUUGUAUUAGCCACAUUUGAGUUGUAUUACAUUAUAUAUAUAUGUAUGUCUGUAUGCAUAUAUAUAAAUGCAUGUAUAUGUAUGUAUAUACAUCUAUCUAUAUAUAUAUAUCCAUAUCUAUAUCUAUAUCUAUCUAUCUAUCUAUCUAUCUAUCUAUCUAUCUAUCUAUCUAUAUCUAUCUAUCUAUCUAUCUAUCUAUCUAUCUAUAUAUAUAUAUAUAUAUAUAUAUAUAUAUAUAUAUAUAUAUAUAUAUAUAUAUGUAUGUAUGUAUGAUGUAUACAUAAAUAUGCAUACAAAAACACACUUCUAUAUAUAUAACGUGAUACAGUUCAAAUAUGGCUGAUACAAAAUUAUACAAAAAAUAUUAUUACAAGUAGCAGGCUAUAUUAUAUAUCACUACAUAUCACUACUGAUAUGUGAUAAAGCCUGUCCAAUUUACCUUCACGUGUUAGUAAUCUUUAUUUUUACUGUAAAGGUAUUGGCAGAUUUCCACAUGUAAUAUCCAGUGACAAAAGUUCCCCUGUAUGAUUGCCUAUAUAGAGAUUUUAUUCUCACUAUACCCACACUCAUACAAAGAACUUGUAUAAGAAAUUAUGGGGGGAUAUGUACAGAGAACAUGGAAAUAUGCGUAUAACUAAAAGAACUAUUACAGUAUAUAUUUAUACUUUAGUAAACGUACAAAUAAUAGACGACCAAAUAUUUGAAUAGAUUAGGAUAAAAUUUUUCAAGUUGUGACCUGUUUCUUGCCUGUAGAGACACAGUAUAUUUAAUGCUACAUCAUUCAAUUCCUACGAUAGUAGUUUUUAAAACGGUUUUGAUGAAUAAAAACCUACGAGUGUAUAAAAAUUAUGUAUGCUUAAUUUGAAAGAAAACUGGUAAAUAAAUGGAAAUAAAUAUCAAUUUAUUAUUAUUAUAGAUACAUACAUACAUAUAUAUAUAUAAAGUUAAUCCAAACAUGAAAGCACAAAAAACACAACAACGCGAGGACGUGGAACAGAUAUAGUAUUAAUAGACGCUCAGAAAAGAAGGAAAGAAAUAGGAUUUAACGUUUCGAGUGGAGCUCUUCGUCGAAAACAUAGGAGAAGGAAAGAUCCAGAGAAGAGAAGACAGAGGAAAAAAAAAUCGCCAACGGUACACACGCGGUCACAUUUUGAAUAUAUAUGUAUAUAUAUAUAUAUAUAUAUAUAUAUAUACGUAUAUGUGUGUAUGUAUAUAUAUGUAUAUAGAAAGUUAGAGAGCGAGAGAGAGGGAAAGAAAGAAAGAAAGAUAGAUUGAUAGGUAUGUAUGUAUGUAUUGCAUUUUCUAUUAAAGUUUGCAAGACGCAACGAAAAUUUUAGGAAAAUAAAAAUAAGAACUAAGUGGAAAUUUUACCGUGAGUGUGUUAAAUUAUAAGGCACAAAAAGAAAAUGACACUCCCCAGACACAACAGAAUAUGCUUCAACACACUAAUUCGCAUAAAGAAUCUUGCAAACGAAAUCCCAAAACGAAAAUAUUUUAAAUUAGUCAUAAAGUACUCUUUACACGUUGUCUGAAAUGUUUCAUGCGAGAAAUAAGUAUUAAAUUUUAAAGUACAUUAAAUUUGCUUUGUCGACUUUGCCUUUCAUCCUUUCGUGGUCAAUAAAUUAGGUACCAGUGAAACACUGGGGUCAAUGUAAUCGACUAGUCCCCUCCCACCAAAUAUUAGGCCUUGUGCCUUCAGCUCAAAAAAUUAUUAUUGUUAUUAUUAUUAUUAUUAUUAUUAUUAUUAUUAUUAUUAUUAUUAUUAUUAUUAUUUUUCUUUUUUUCUUCUUUCAAAUUUGCUUCCAUUUCUUGCCGAGUGUCUUCCCGACUCCUAGGGCAAAGAAACUCAUAGUAUACAUUGGUAGACCAUUAAACUAAACUCACUAGUUCGUUCAUUUUUUUUUUUAAGUUAAAUUAAAAUACAUGGGUAGUAAUAGUUCUCACAUCGACAAUGAUCUUCUCAAUACGUGUGAUGUACCAGUUAAGACAAUCUUUUGCACUUCUUGCAGGGAUGGUAAGCCAGGGAUCGUUCUCAUAUAAUUUUCGGUUCCCUUCUUGAUCAUUCCUAGUGCUCCUACGAUCACUGGUAUUGUAAUCGCCUUGAGAUGCCACAUUUUCUCAAUUUCAAUGAGCAGGUCUUUAUAUUUUCUGAGAUAUUAUGAUCACAGGGGAUGCUCAUGUCGAUCAAUAAGCAAACUUUAUUGUUUUGGUCUUUCACAACAAUAUCUGGUUUAUUGGCUUUGAUGGUUCGGUCUGUAUGUACUGGAAAGUCCCACAGAAUCGAUUAUUAUUAUUAUUAUCAUUAUCAUUAUUAUCAUUAUCAUUAUUAUUAUUAUUAUUAUUAUUAUUAUUAUUAUUAUUAUUAUUAUUAUUAUUAUUAUUAUUAUUAUUAUUAUUAUUAUUAUUAUUAUUAUUAUUAUUACUGCUACUGUUCUUUUUGUUGUUGUUGUUGUGGCUGAGCUAUAAGAAAUUUGCUCUCCAGCAACAUAUAUCCGUGUUCAGUCAUUCUGCAUUUCCGACCGACCAAACUAAAUUUGCAGUAGGAAACGGAAAGACGCCUAUCGUACAUACGUAUAUAUAUAUAUAUAUAUAUAUAAAAUAUUAUUAGAGACAAAACCACUAUUUUGCAAAACAAACAAGGAAAGACUUAAUCAAUACAUAACAUUUUAAUAAAUAGUCAAAAAAACCGCCACUACAAUUGUUUCUUGUCUUGAUCGACAAUCUUCAGGUGGACUUCCAAUAAAUCAGUUUCAAAUUAAAAUUUUAUGUAUUGAUUAAGUCUUUCCUUGUUUGUUUUGCAAAAUAGUGGUUUUGUCUCUAAUAAUAUUUUAUAAUAUUUUACUAUAAAAUUGGAUUUAAUCCUAAAUCUGAUUUUUUCCCUGUAAAUUUGGAUUUAUUCCCUAAUAUUUAUUAUUUAUAUAUAUAUAUAUAUAUAUAUAUAUAUAUAUAUAUAUAUAUAUAUUGUGUGUGUGUGUGUGUGUGUGUGUGUGUGUGUGUGUGUGUGUAUGUGUAUACAUAUGCUCAGUGUUAUGUAAUCCGUCUUCACUUUCUGAGUUCAAAUUCCGCCGAGGUUGUCUUUGCCUUUCAUUCUUUCGGGAUCUAUAAAUUAAGUACCAGUCAAGUACUGGGUCCGAUAUGAUCGAUUUUCUCCCAUCUCCGCAAAUUUCAGGCCUUGUGCCAAUAGUAGAAAGGAUUCUUCUUCUUCUUCUUCUUCUUCUUCUUCUUCUUCUUCUUCUUCUUCUUCUUCUUCUUCUUCUUCUUCUUCUUCUUCUUCUUCUUCUUCUUCUUAUUAUUAUUAUUAUUAUUAUUAUUAUUAUUAUUAUUAUUAGUAGUAGUAGUAGUAGUAGUAUUAGUAUUCCUCUCCUUUUUCUUCUUUUUCUUUUUUCGUCUUCUUCUUCUUCUUCUUCUUCUUCUUCUUCUUCUUCUUCUUCUUCUUGAGUGAGAGAGCAGUGUAUGCCAUCAAAGUGGCAUCGGGGUAAAAUAUACGAAGCCCAGUAUACCCAUCAUGACUACCCGUCUGAUAAAGGUACAUCAGACACAUGCAUCACAACAAUAUGUGUGUGACAUGAUGAUCUCAUAUCAAGAUUAACAGCGCAUGACCUUGCAGGUGGGACCCAGUACACUAUUCUUUAGGUCGAGUAGCCCAUCCCGCUCAAAAGCUUACUGAAUAAGUGUUGUUUAAGGAUAUUGAACGGAACACCUCUGUUUCCAGAUGUAAAUUAUCCAAACCCCAAAGUAUUCCUCUCAACACAUAGCUGUGAUGUUCCCCUACUACUUCUGCGCGUGAUCAGGGAUGAAAAUAUCGUCAACCACUAAGGGACAUUUUCAAGUGGUUGAAGUCAUACAACUGACAAGCAAAUCUGUGGUAUCGAGCAGAAUAUUUGCUGUGGCCCAUCUUUUAUACCAAGACAAAAAUAUGUACAUAAUAACACUUCCAAUCAGUGAAGAUAAGAAGCCAUGAAAGCCACCACCUGAUACUGCAGCUUACAAGUCUUUAGAACGUCGAGCUUCAAACGCCUUGAGCUAUUUCUCCUGUCUCUUUGCAGACUAUGUUCAAAUGUUACAAAGAGCAAAUUUGCAUUUCAUUCUUUCUUGAUCGACAAAAGAGUGAUACUAGUUGUACAGAGGUAUCGAUGUAAAUGAUUAGCAUCCGCUCGUUCACCUCGGCAAAAAUUUUUUAAGCCUUCGUACCUGUUCUAGAAAGAGAGCUGGCAGAAACAUCAGCUCGCUGCGUAAUAAACCUAGAAGCGUUUUACCCAUGUUCACGUUCAGAGUUCAAACUCAGCCGGGAACAAUGAAAUAAGUACCAGUUGAAGACUUGAAUCGAUAUAAUCGACUAGCAAGCAUUCCCAAUACUGCAGAUCUUAGCAGAUUACACACACACACACACACACACACACACAUACAUAUAUAUAUAUGUAUGCAUGUAUGUAUGAGAGGGAAGUUAAAAAAUAUUGGUCAUUACAUAUAAUUCCUCUAUUAGACCAAAUUUGGCUUACAGCUGUUUCCAGUAUUCAUUAUAGAUAGUGGUCUACAGAUCAAUUGAAGUAAGUUGAACGACCUGACAAAAUUUAUAUAUAUAUAUAUAUAUAUAUAUAUAUAUAUAUAUAUAUAUAUAUAUAUAUAUAUAUAUAUAUACAUAAUAUAUAUAUAUAUAUAUAUAUGAAUACACUGGACCUGGAGGGAUUGCAAUCCCAGAGGCACAAUCAGUGCGUGACCUGGGUAUUUACAUGAGUGAUGACGCAACCUUUCAUGUACAUGAUGCUAAAUUGGCAAUGAAAUGUAGACGGCUGGCCGGAAGGAUUCUUAGAACCUUUACAACAAGAGACCAAGAAACCAUGAUGGUCCUCUGGAGGACACUUGUCCUUUGACUAUUGCUCUCAGCUAUGGUCACCAUCCAGUGUCAAGUUGAUCACAUAAAUCAUGUAGCAACACCAAAUGGCGGUGGCCCAGCAUGGCCACAGCUCGUGAGCUGAAACUAGAUAAGAUAAAAUAAAAUAAAAAAUAUAUAUGUAUGUAUGUAUGUAUGUAUGUAUGUAUGUAUAUAUGUAUGUAUGUAUGUAUGUAUGUAUGUAUGUAUGUAUGUAUGUAUGUUAUAUGUAUAUGUACAUAUACAUAGACACGCAGACACAUGUAUAUGUAUACAUAAAUAUAUAUAUGUAUAUAUGUGUCUGUGUAUAUAUAUAUAUAUUACUGUUUUGUUCUUUUACUUGUUUCAGUCAUUUGACUGUGGCCAUGCUGGAGCACCGCCUUUAGUCGAGCAAAUCGACCCCAGGACUUAUUCAUUGUAAGCUUAGUACUUAUUCUAUCGGUCUCUUUUGCCGAACUGCUAAGUUAUGGGGACGUAAACACACCAGCAUCGGUUGUCAUGUGAUGUUGUGGGGGACAAACACAGAAACACAAGCAUACACACACACACACACACACACACAUACACACACACACACAUAUACAUACAUAUAUAUAUAUAUAUAUAUAUAUAUAUAUACGAUGGGCUUCUUUCAGUUUCCGUCUACCAAAUCCUCUCACAAGGCUUUGGUUGGCCAGAGGCUAUAGUAGAAGACACUUGCUCAAGGUGCCACGCAGUGGAACUGAACACGGAACCAUGUGGUUCGUAAGCAAGCUACUUACCACACAGCCACUCCUACGCCUCUGGGCAUAUUCAAAGCAAGACAUAUACGUGCAGAAAUACAUGUACAUUGAACACAUUCCUUAUACGAAACUACGAUCGGAAGUGAAAAUAUAGAAAAUCUUCUGCUUCUUUACUCAUUUACUUAUUCUGAAACAAGACGCAACCGGUGCUAUGUAACGGUGAUAUUCAAAACAGUUCACUAAACAACAGUUAUCCUUUUUGUGUGCACAAAAAUACCUGAUUUGUGCCAAAAACUGAAACAAGAUACAGUAGAGUAUAUACAUGGUUUGGCUUAGUCAAUAUAUUAAUAAUAUUUACAGUGACUUCGAUCGGGAUACGAUAUUGGAAAAACACUUGAAUAUAUAUAUACACACACACACACACACACACACACAUAUAUAUAUAUAUAUGUAUUCUUUUAUUCUUUUACUUGUUUCAGUCAUUUGACUGCGGCUGUGCUGCAGUACCGUCUUUCAGCCGCAGAAAUCGACCCCAGGACUUAUUCUAUGUAAGCCUGGUACUUAUUCGAUAAGUCACUUUCGCCGAACUGGUAGGUUACGGGUAAUUAACCACACCAACAUCGCUGGAGAGCAUGACAAACACUGACUCACACACAUAUAUGUAUAUGAGUAUAUAUUUGUGUAUAUAUACUCAUAUAUAUAUAUAUAUAUAUAUAUAUAUAUAUAUAUAUAUAUAUAUAUAUAUAUAUAUAUAUAUAUAUAUAUAUAUAUACGACGAGAUUCUUUCAGGUUUCGUCUACGAAAUCCACUCAAAAGGCUUUCGGCCCGAGGCUAUAAUUGAGGUCACUAGCCAAAGUGCAACGCAGUGAGACUGAACCCGGAACCAUGUGGUUGGGAAGCAAACUUCUUACCACACAACCACGCCUAUAUUUAUUAGUUCAUUUCAUUGAAUUAGUAGAAAAUUAUAAUUCUGUCGAUCGCCUCAUCAGCACGGUAUUACAUAUUUCUAUGUAUUGAAUGUAUUACAUAACAUUGUAUGAUAUAUAAAUUUUAAAGCAACCCAUUCAUUUGGAGUUCGUGAGUUCAAUCUCAUUUCUAUUCGCACGUAAAUCAUAUAUAUAUAUAUAUAUGUGUGUGUGUGUGUGUGUGUGUGCGUGUGUGUGUGUGAAAAUUAUAUAUACAUACAUAUAUAUGUAUAUAUAA
rnacentral:lncRNA from 1 species